UCGAAUCCUGCAAAGCAGACGACCGCGAACUCGUGUAACCACCGGGCGUCGGGUGUCGGGAGAGAUUAAACCCUCCCCUGGCUCCCCGGCGCCCCCCGUGCGCUCGUCGUGCGGACAAUAACUCAACCCCGGCGCGAAAAGCGCCAAGGAAAACUCAAAAAGAUUGCCCGCUCCCCGCUGUCCAAUUUUGAGUACGGUCGGGGGUGUUGUGGCGUCUGUCGUAACCAAAACGACUCUCGGCAACGGAUAUCUCGGCUCUCGCAUCGAUGAAGAACGUAGCGAAAUGCGAUACUUGGUGUGAAUUGCAGAAUCCCGUGAACCAUCGAGUCUUUGAACGCAAGUUGCGCCCGACGCCAUUAGGCCGAGGGCAUGUCUGCCUGGGCGUCACGCAUAGCGUCGCCACCCCACUCUUACGGGGCGGCGGAUAUUGGCCUCCCGUUCUGUCAGGUGCGGCUGGCCUAAAUGCGAGUCCUCGGCGAGGGACGUCACGGCGAGUGGUGGUUGAAUACCUCAACUCGAGUCCUGUCGUGUUCAUAUCCCCCGCCGUUUCUCUGGCUCCCUUGACCCUUAAGCUUGUGCCUCGACGCAAGCCUCGA
rnacentral:rRNA from 1 species